rnacentral:lncRNA from 1 species
CACAUUUCACUCUUUUUGAAACCCUUCUCUUCCUUCUUCCACUUCGUCAAACCCAAAACCUCUUCUUAAUUCCUCCAUCAAUCUUAAGCCACCAUGUCUUCCUUCAAGACCAAAUAUCAAGGUACUUAACGUUGUUUCAUUACUAUUUUGUCUUACAUGCCUUCCAGUUUUUUCGAUUUGUCGUUGAUUUCUCACACCACUCUUUCUUUUUUCAUCUUGUGUGUGUUCUUUGUGUUGAACGAUUGUGUUUAUCUACUAGGCGUCUGAUUUUGUCUUCUGGGUAUGACUAUUUAGAUGUAAAGGUUUGAUCUUUUCUCUACCUUGCUUCACAUUUGGCGACCUGUGAUGACUGAAUAAAUUUAAAUUUAUAGAUCCAAAUUUCGAUCUGUGUUUGAGUAUUUUUUCAGUUGAAAAAAAAAUAAAUUUUGUCCGUGUUGUGUUUUCUGAUUGGAAUUGAGAGCAACCUUUGAAUUUUAGUUCACAGCGGAAACUUGUGAAUUUAAUUUUGUUGAGUGUGUUUAUGUCCCUGAAUUGUCGUGUGAUUAUUAUUUUUUUCCGUUCCUUAUAUUGAACGGUCUUGGUUGGGAUAUUAUUUGUAAUAUGAAUAAACAAGAUCAGCUAUCGAAUUUAAGUAAUGAUUUGAUCUUGUGUGGGCUUGGUGAUCCCUUUCAAGAAUUUAGAUCUUAGUUGUUGAAUGAUAAUGUUAUACAAAUCUCUAAACAUUAUUCAUAAAUAUUGUUUCAAGGAUGUCAUUUUAUUAUUUUAUAUUAAAAAUAAUAUCAACUUAAAUAUUUGUUGAGGGAGGGUCUCUGGAGACACUUACACUCUCUAGAUCCUUCAUACAAUUCUAUAAUAUCGGAUUAAUAAAAAUGCUUUCGGUUGGCCUGUUUUUUUUUUCCAACAAAACUACUUUUAUCAGUUUUCAAAUUUUAAGUGUUAUUUUAUCUUUUUUGAGUGAGGUAGAUAACUUUUGAGAGAUGUUUAUUCUCACCUGCUUUCUCCUCCUUGUUUAUUCAUUUCAAGUUGAAGUGAGAUUAUUGUAUUGUGGUAGUAUGACUUGAUUUAAAAUGUACGUGUUCUAAUGAAUUUGUUGUUUUUUUUAGGUAUGUGUAAAUUUCACAAGAGAAUAAUAUAUUAUUCAAUGCAAAGAAUGACUUAUAUAAGCCUUACCGACUCUGAAAAAAAUAAACUAACUGCAACUGCAUACUAAGUGGCACUAAACUAGGAGUAAAUAAUGCAACAAAUACAGACCCGUUCAGCCCUAUAUUUCAGGGGCCUUAUUGACACGUAAAUAACUAACAUACCCUCCCUUAAGCUUUAGCUUAUUUCAGUAACUUCAACUACACCAAGCAUGUGUCUGAACUUCUCAAACUGAUCGAGCUUCACAGCCUUAGUCAUCACGUCAGCCACUUGUUCAUUUGUAUUGCAGUAUUUCAAUUGAACUACUUGUUCAUUCACCAAAUCUCGCAGAAAGUGAAAUCGUACUGCAAUGUGUUUACUUCUUCCAUGGAGAACAGGAUUUUUGGAUAAUUGAAUUGUAGAAUUGUUGUCACAUAGAAUUUUAGUGGCUUCUUUUUCUCCUAACCCAAGGUGCUUGAGAAUUCUUCUAAGCCAAAUGCAUUGACAUGCACAAGAUGCUGCAACAAUGUAUUUAGCUUUUGUAGUAGAUAAGCUAACUACAGGCUGUUUUUUUGAAGCCCAUGAUACAGCUGUAGUUCCCAUCAUAAAUACUGAUCCGGAAGUGCUUCUUCUAUCAUCUAAGUCCCCUGCAUAAUUGCUAUCACUGUAGGCUGUGAAACCUAUUUUUUUUCCUUUUUGAUAGAAAAGACCGUGGUCUAUGGUGCCUUUUAAGUACCUGAAAAUCCGUUUUGCUGCAGUCCAAUGUGACUCCUUUGGAUUGGCCAUGUACCUGCUGAUUAGACUUACUCCAUACAUCAAAUCUGGCCGCGUGGCUGUCAAAUACAUGAGACUACCAACAACUUGUUUAAACUUUGUGACAUCUAUUGGUGCUCCUACAUCAUCCUUAGACAAUAUAGUUCCAGGUACCAUAGGAUUGCGAACAAAAUUACUUUCUAGCAUGUUAAACCGAAGUAAUAUCUCACGUGCAUACUGUCUUUGACAGAUAAAAAUUCCUACCUCAUUCUGUAUAACUUCUAUUCCCAGAAAAUGUCUCAUUUUACCCAAAUCGGUCAUGUCAAAUUCUAACUGCAUAGAGCUUUUGCACUCUUCACAUAUAUCCUUGCAAUUUCCAGCAAAAAUCAGAUCAUCAACAUAGAGACUAACAAUUAAGAACUUGCCAUGGACCCUUUUUGUAAACAAGGUGUGUUCACUAGAGCAACGUACAAAUUUUUCUCUGGAAAAAUAGGCUUCUAUCUUACUGUACCAGGUUCGUGGAGCCUGUCUAGGUCCAUAGAGAGCUUUCCUGAGUUUGUAUACGUGAUUUUCUUUGCCCUUUGUGAUAAAUCUAGCAGGUUGUUGAACGUAUACCUCUUCUUGAAGUUCACCAUGUAGGAACGCGCUUUUGACAUCGAGUUGGAAUACUUCCCAUGAGUAUUGAGCUGCCACGGCUAAUAGCACCCGUACUGUGUCAAGUCUAGCUACAGGAGCAAAUACUUAUGUGUAAUUGAUUCCAUACUGCUGGGCAUAGCCUUUGGCCACUAACCUGGCCUUAUAUUUCUCUAUCUGACCAUGUUCAUUGAAUUUGGUUUUGAAGACCCAUUUCACGCCAAUGGGUUUAACACCAUCUGGAAGUUCUACAAGCUCUCACGUGUUGUUCUUUUCAAUUGCUUUCAUUUCAGUGUCCAUUGCUUCCUUCCAGUUCUGACUCAUGUAAGCUUCUUCAAAGGAUUGAGGAUCUACAGAAUCGAUUAUCAUCAUCGCCAGUAAGCUCUCCUCUUCUACAGAUAGGUUGGUCUCAUAGUCAAUCAUCCAUGAUGGUUGUCUCCGGGUCCUGAUUGCCCUCCCUUCAACUGCAGGAUCAGUGAAUGCUGAAUCUGAAGUUGGCUCGAGUGUUUCUGGUUGAUCAUGGCUGACUGUUAUUUGUUGAGAUGCAAAUUCUGCAGUUUCAAUUUCUUUGUCUCCCAAAUCAAGAGCAAGAGGUGUGCCUCCAUCUACCUGUGCAUUCCAAUUCCAACUCUUAUUUUCUUCAAACACCACGUCUCUGCUUACAAUAACCUUCUUUGUAAUAGGGUCAUAGAGUUUGUAAGCUUUUGACUCAUCACUUACACCUAAGAGAAUACAUUGUUGGCUCUUUGCGUCUAGUUUGCUUCGCUUUUGAUCUGGAAUGUGAACAUGUGCAACACAUCCAAAUGUGCGGAAGUAAUCAACACAUGGCUUCACCCCACUCCACACUUCUUCCGGAGUCCCUUGAUCUAUCGCAGAGGUUGGACUUCGGUUUUGGACAUGAACACACCAGCGUACUGCCUCAGGCCAGAAGGAUUUUGGAACUUGCUUGUCAUGAAGUACUGUUCUGACUGCAUUCAUGAUGAUACGAUUCUUACGCUCUGCAACUCCAUUUUGUUGAGGAGUGUAGGCCGCUGUCAAUUGUCUAGAGAUACCAUGGUGAUUACAAAAGGUUGAAAAUUCCUUGGAAUUGAAUUCACCACCUCGAUCAGUUCUUAAACACACAAUGUGAGUGCCAGCUUCUUUAUCAACAUAUGCUUUGAAGUUUUUGAAUGCAUUGAACGUUUCAGAUUUUGCAUGCAAAAAAUAAAUCCAAGUCUUACGAGAAUAAUCAUCAACAAAGCUUAAAAUAUACCUCUUAUUGCUGUGUGAAGCUGGCGAAAUGGGACCACAUACAUCAACAUGGAUUAAUUGGAGUUUCAUUGCUGCUCUCCGUGAACUUUGCUUUGGUAUGACAUCUCUAUGUUGUUUUCCCAUGAGACAGGUAGUGCAUAUAUCCUUGGGAGUUUUCAGAAAAGGUAGACCAAUUACCAUUUGCUUAUUUGCAAGUGUGAUGAGUCCUUUAAAGUUGAGAUGUCUAAAUCGUUUAUGCCACAACAAAGCUGCCUUAUCAGAAUCAUCUUCAACUUGGAGGCACUGAGAAUGCUGGGAGGUCAUUGAGACUGUCACAUAAAACAUCCUAUUUCCUCUCAUGUUUGUAUGAAUAAUCAAUCCUCUAUUUGGAUGGAAUAUCUUGCAUGUAUCAUUUUGGAUUAAGAUAGCCAGGCCUUUCUCUUGAAGUUGUCCCAAACUUAAGAGGUUGGUCUUAAGUUUUGGAACGUAGUAAACAUUGGAUAUAACAUGUGUAACACCAUUGAUUUGAACCCGAAUAUUUCCUCUGGCAACAACAUUCAAUGGUGUGUCAUUUCCAAGUUUCACAUUUUUAUUGAGCCCUUCUUCAUGAAUUUCUGUGAACCACUGCUUAUUACCAGUCAUAUGAUUACUACAUCCAGAAUCUAGAAACCAAUUUUCUCUCUGAACAGAUUGUGUCAUCUCUUCAUAUGCCACCAAUAGAAUCUCGUCUUCUGCCUUUGUUGCACCCUCACAUGCUGCAUAAUGAGCCUGCUUUUCUACUCCAGGGCAUUCGUAUUGAAAAUGUCCUAGUUUGUGACAUUGGAAGCAUUCAACAAGCGCCUUGUUGAAGGGUUGUCUCCCAUGUCCUCUUCCCCAUCCACGAUUUUCUCUACCGCGACUUGCUCCCGAACGAUCAUCAUGAAUGACUUUCAGCCCUUGUUCGUCAGGUUGAAAACUCUCCAUUCUUUGCUCAUGAACAAGCAAACUCCCAUGAAGUUCAUCAAGACUUAGGGUGCUCAAGUCGUUGGCCUCCUCAAUGGAGCACACCACGUAGUUAAAAUUUGGGGUUAAGGAUCGAAGUAUUUUGCUGACCACUGUGCUCGGGUCCAAUGUUUCACCAUUUACCUUCAUUUUAUUGACUCGGUGAGAGUACGUCCCAGGUAGCUAUCAAUUUUCUCACCGUCUUUCAUGUUCAGCAAUUCGAACUCCCGUCGUAGUGCUUGAAGUUGAGCCCGUUUAACUCGUGUUGAUCAUUGGUAUUUCUGCUGCAUGGACCUCCAUAUCGCUUGUGACAUGCUUUUGUCUAGUAUUGUUUCAAGGACUUCUUUAUCAAUAGCUUGAAACAAGUAGUUCUUUACUUUCAUAUCCUUCAGAUUCGCCUCAGUAGCAUUCCUCCGCUGUGCCUCUGUGGGCGUGGCUCCAAGUUUCGGUAUGCCUUCUUCUACUAAUUGCCACAGUUCCUUACUGCGCAGAAAGUUUUCCAUGGUCAUGGACCAGAAAUCAUAGUGGCCAUCGAACUUUGGAAUGGCCGGUUGAACAAACUUCUCUGGUGCAGACAUUCUUACUCUCACACUUCUCACUGAUAUUGCCCACACUCUGUACCAGAUUGUUCUUCACACAAGAUCUGGAUAAUUUCUCUCUGCACACGUAACUCACUUUCUGGAUCAGGCCCCUUACGGAGCUCUGAUACCAAUUGUUGUUUCUUUAGGUAUGUGUAAAUCUCACAAGAGAAUAAUAUAUUAUUCAAUGCAAAGAAUGACUUAUAUAAGCCUUAUAGACUCUGGAAAAAACAAGCUAACUGCAACUGCAUACUAAGUGGCACUAAACUAGGAGUAAAUAAUGCAACAAAUAAAGACUCGUUCAGCCCUAUAUUUCAGGGGCCUUAUUGACACGUAAAUAACUAACAGAAUUUACAUGAAUUGCAGAUGAACUCAUUGCCAAUGCUGCUUACAUUGGAGGUGCUUACAUUGGAGGGUAUUUGAUGAGAAUCAAAUAAAGGAGGCCUUUAUUAAUGAAGGAAGAGGACAUUCG